CCGGAGUUGACUAUCCAGAUCGCCAUUUCAAUCCUUUCUAGCAGAAAACACUGCAAAAUUCUCUCCUAAUUCAAGAAAAUAUGUGUAGAGACAAAAGGGUCUCGAUCUUCAUUGCCUACAUAACCCUUCUCAGCUUUGUCUCAAAGGGUAUUCAUGCAUCUGAACCAGAAUUCGGGUCGACCCGUGUUGUGUUUCAGACAAAUUAUGGAGAUAUUGAAUUUGGUUUCUACCCUAGUGUUGCACCAAAGACAGUUGAGCAUAUCUUCAAGCUAGUGCGCUUGGGAGGCUACAAUACCAAUCACUUCUUUCGGGUAGAUAAGGGUUUUGUUGCUCAAGUGGCUGAUGUUGCUGGAGGCAGGAGUGCACCUAUGAAUGAAGAACAGAGGGCGGUAGCUGAAAAAAAUGUUGUUGGUGAAUUUAGUGAAGUGAAACAUGUUAGAGGAAUCCUUUCAAUGGGAAGGCAUGCUGAUCCUGACAGUGGUUCCUCAUCAUUUUCAAUGCUCCUUGGAGAUGCACCUCAUCUUGAUGGCACGUAUGCAAUAUUUGGCAAAGUUACGAAAGGAGAUGAAACAUUGAGAAAGCUUGAGCAGUUACCUACUAGACGUGAAGGGAUCUUUGUAAUGUUUCUUCCAGAUUAAAGCUUGUCAUUUUACUGAAUAGUCUUUGUUCUCAUUAUUCAGCCGACUGAACGCAUCACAAUUCACUCAACAUAUUAUUAUGACACCAAGAUGGAAACUUGUGAAGACGAGAGGUCGUCGUUAAAAAGAAGACUUUCUGCAGCAUCAGUUGAAAUAGAAAAACAGAGGAUGAAAUGCUUUCCUUGAUCAAGUGGGAAAA